rnacentral:rRNA from 1 species
UACGUAGGGUGCGAGCGUUAAUCGGAAUUACUGGGCGUAAAGCGUGCGCAGGCGGUUCGUUGUGUCGGCGGGGAAAGCCCCGGGCUUAACCUGGGAAUGGCCGUUGAAACUGGCGAACUGGAGUGUGGCAGAGGGGGGUGGAAUUCCGCGUGUAGCAGUGAAAUGCGUAGAUAUCUGGAGGAACACCGGUGGCGAAGGCGGCAUCCUGGACCGGCACUGACGCUGAGGAGCGAAAGCCAGGGGAGCAAACGGG